UUAUAGAGUCAUAAAUAACAACAAGCCUUUUAACAGUAGGUGAAAGUUCUGAUAGAACAGAAGCCACAGGCUGUCGAAGGAGCAAGGCAGCAUCGAAAGACGGCUGCAGGUGGGAAGGGAAUUUAACAGGGUCAUGGGGGUUAGGAUCAGGGGAAUGAAAAGCAGGGGUUGGAAACUCAUGGAAAUGAAUCAAUUGGGAAUGAGUUGACAGAGGAUCCCACCCCUGGAUUCGAAGCCUGGCCUGGCGGCUGUGCGUGGCAGAAGCGACGUAGUGGACAGGAAUAUUGUAGGAGGAGAUGAGGCGUGAGAGGUGGAGGAGCUGGUUGAGAUGGCCUUGAGCAGGGAAAGGGACCAUCACUACCACUACAUUUUCAUUGGCUUGCAUGUCUUGGACUCCCAUUUGUUUUGACUAGCUUUAGAAAUCAGAAUACAAGUAUCUUCUCGGUGCAAUUUUCUUGUAUUAUUAUAGGAAUUUUUCUACUGAUACUUUUUUUGUUUUUUUGCGUAUCAUUGCCGAAUCAUUUUGUUGUUACUUUUUGUUUUUAUGAGAUCUGUUGUUCGUUUUAUUUUUGUACUGAAAUGUGUCGUCACCGCUAACGUUACAAUCUGCAGAGUGUUGCUUUAGUACUUGAACUCAUGUUGCCUACUUCGAUUUGAAAGAUUUGCAGCCAUCUCCGAUCAAGGGUUGGCAUAAACUUCGGGAAACCGUACAAUCUGAAUAUCCGAUCCGAUAUAUUGUCGAAAAAAUUCGAAAAUUCGGAUAUUUUAUUAAAAAAUCAGACCGAAUAUUCCGUCCAGAUUUUUUAUAUAAAUUUGAAUUGGGAUCGAGAUCAUCAAAUUCGGAUAUGGUCGAAAAAAUCUGAAAAUUCGGAGAUUUUCAAAAAAGUUGGACAAAAUAUCUCAUUUGGAUUUUUUUAAUAUAAAUUCGGAUCCGAAUCACUAAAAGAUAAGUUUACAGAUACUAAAAUUUAGAACUUUGCCUUUGAAAUGGCUGCUAAUAAAUUUAUAAUUCCAGCUUAAACCAGAUCUCAGUUGAAUAAACUUGUUUUUAGUCUUGUGCUCAAACAUAACUUCUAAUUUGUUGAGAGAUCAUUUAAUUUGCUGAAUGAUAAAAGAAUAAAAUGAUGAAUCGAGUUAGAAUAUUAUGAUUUUCAGAUAUCAUAUCAUGUGUUUGGUUAGGUGUCGGAAUUAAUGUAUUUAAUAUUUUUAAAAAAUAAAUAAAUUAUUUAUUUAAAUCAAUUAAUAAUAAUAAUAAUAAUAAUAAUAAUAUAUAAGUAUUUAAAAAAGUAAAAAAAAAAAAAAUAACGUUCAUUAUCAAACCCCUCUCUCGUGCCCAUCACCAUCUCUGUAUCAAAAAUUCAUACCGACCAGUUUGAUACAUUAGUUCCAAAAUUUAGUUUGUGACGUCGUAUGAAUUUGGAUCUAACAAAAUUCAUGCCUGAUUCCGGCCAAACCACAUGUGCAAGAGAGAGUAUCAAGCUUCUAAAAUCUCGAUGAAACUGAUGACAUCGACAUGCAUGACUUUUCCAAUCCUGCCAAAUAUCUUGUUUUCUUCGUCAAAUAUUCUAUACUGCUCCACACAUCACUUGUGGUUGUCGCUAAAUCAAUCAUAGAUUCCAAAGUGUUUAACUUUCUUCGUCUACUUGUAAAGUUUCUGGUUCAACUGAAACUCUUUCCUUCUACGCAAUUGUAAAAAACUAAUAUUAACAAUUAAUAAGAAUUUAGUCAAAGUUGGUAUAGUUUGGACAUAAUGAAAUGCACCCAUCAACUUCUGAAUUCAUAAAUUACACAAACCAUUGAGAUAUUGUAACUUACUGCAAUGAAAACAGAGAAGAGACUGUUUAAGAUAGCUACAAUUAUGAACUUGUAAUGUGGUCGAUAAAAGAAUCCAAUUCCAGGCCUUCUGCAACAGAUUUCUUGAUUUCAUUUCUCAACUCCGCCGCUCUUUUCCUCAUUUCAUCUCCUUCAUUGGAUGCUAUCAACUUUUUAACUGCAUUUUCAAUAUGGAAUGAUUCGACUAAGUCGUUUUCUUGAGUCCAUUCCUUGACAUCAAUGCCUAGUUUGAGUACCUUGGUUAUUAGCAGAGCAUUUCGAGGCUGGUCCGAAUGCAUUGGCCAUGUAACCAUAGGCACUCCCAUUGUCAGGCUUUCUAAGCAUGAAUUCCAUCCGCAGUGACUCAUAAACCCCCCUGUGGAGGCAUGUGCCAAGAUAUCCAACUGGGGUGCCCAGUCUCUCACUAUCAUCCCUUGUCUGGUUUCAGAGAUUCUGUCUUCGUACCUCGUUGGCAAAUCAUAUUUUCUGACAUCUCCGCUGAAUAUAUCUCCUUUAUCCGCGUCUCUCAGUACCCAAACAAAUUUUUGGCCACUAUUUUCUAGGCCAAGUGCAAUGGCAUGGAUUUGUUCAUCAGUUAGGGUAGUUGUUGUCCCAAAAGAAACAUAUAUCACUGAAUUCAGAGCUUGAUUGUCUAGCCACUGUAAGCAUUUGUGUCGUAGCUGGUCUUGUUUCUGGCAAAUAUCUACAGGGUUGAAGGGUCCAAUGGCCCAAUGUUUCCUGUCUGCCUGGUAUUUCUGGAGCAUAUCAAAGUAAUGGCCUUCAAUUGCUCUGGUAGUAUUGUAAAGUUCACCAGAGCUGUUUUUGAGGUGAAUUUGCUGUUUUUCCCAGAAAGCCGAGAUUUCUGGAGUCACGUAAACUUCCAGAGAAUGGAGUAGUUGAAGUAUAUGGUCAUCAUCUGAACUAGGCCUUCCUGCUAUUUCCCAAAUGUAGGAAUAAUUAAAGAAAGCAGAAGUACUCUGAAAAACAUACUUGUCAACAUUAGGUAAGGAAAUAGAAUCUUGUACCACUGCAGCCAUAAAAUAGUCAUGAAUGAUGAUAAUUUUACGAGCAGUGGUGGAAAGAGAGGUAAGGAAGUUGCAGACAGGCUCGCGGAGGUAAAUGGAGGCUUCAAAUGCUGGCUGAAGUUGAGUAGGAAACUUAUUUGGAGCAUUGGGGUUGGGAGCUGGACACUGAAAAGCUGGGAUUGGGAAUUCAUGAAUGUAAAUAUUGUCAUAGGCUAGAAGGUCCCAUCCCUGGUGCCGACUGCUGGCUUGGCGGAUAUGAGUUGUGGUACUGACAUAGUGGACUGGUAUGUUAUAAGAGGAGAUGAGGCGGGAGAGAUGGAGGAGUUGGCCUAAGUGGCCUUGUGCUAGUAGAGGCACCAUUACCACUUUUACAUCGGCAUCCUUGGCCAUUGCAGCUAGCUAGUGUAGUAAAACCUUUCUACCAAGUUGCUGCUUAAAUAGCAUUAGCAUGUUUAUAUGAAGGGUCGCAAUGCUGCAUUGCCGUUUUGCUAUUCGGUAUUACUCUGAAAAUGGGAUUGAACCAACAAGGCAGUUUGGCAUUACUGUACUAAAGCCGUCCAGGAGAUACCAUUAUCAACACAUCAUGAAAAGUAGACUGCGAUGUGGACGUCAAGCAUAAGACCAAAAAUUGUCUUUCAUAAUAUGAAUGAUAUAGGAAAAUUUAAUUAUUUUUGUUGCAAAGUUUGGUUCCACAGGGGCUGUGAAAGCACAAGGAACACUUGCAAAAUAAUAUCAAAUGUCAAUUUUGCAUACGGCAAUAUUCCUUGUAAAUACACCAGGACAUUUAUGUAUUGCAUAAGAUGGUGCCUCUAGGAUAACUAGAAUAGCGAAUGACGAAGACUGCCUGGGUUGAUUCCAGUGCUCUACCAUCUAAUGAAAUUGGAUACUAUCUUUACUGUACCACAAAUAAUGAAUGGUAAUGAAAUUGCAUAAAGAUAAUGAAGAGUAUGAAUGUGGAAGGCAUUAUUGCUAUUGUUUUGACCUUUACAAGGACAACAAGACCUCAUACAUGACAACCCUAUGCGAAUCAAAUUUCUACCUACAUAUGUGAGCGAUGAAAUCAUCAAAUUCUCUACGAGUAUCUCCUCCUGCCACCGACUUUGUAAUAGCAGUACUCAACUCAACCGCCCUCCUCCUUAACUCUUCUCCUUGUUUUGACGCCAUCAACUCUCUAACAGCUUUCUCAAUUGUCAAAGACUCCACAAACUCAUCCCAGUGUGCCCAAUCCUUCACCACAACGCCCAUUUUCAGCACCUUAGUAACCAACAAGGCAUUAUGAGGCUGGUCAGAAUGCAUAGGCCAUGCUGCCAUAGGCACUCCCAUACUCAUACUCUCCAUGCACGAAUUCCAUCCACAAUGACUCAUAAAUCCUCCUAUGGACGCGUGAGCCAGAAUCUCCAGUUGUGGCGCCCAAUCUCUCAAUAUAAUCCCCUGUCCUUUUAAUUUUAUUCUUUCUUCAUACCCUUCUGGCAAUUGACAUACUCUUGUAUCUCCCACAAAUAUAUCUCCUCUGUCAGCAUCUCGCAAAACCCAAAUGAAUUUCUGGCCACUGUUUUCUAGUCCAACCGCAAUGGCAUGGAUCUGUUCAUUGGUUAGACUAGUUGUUGUUCCAAAAGAAACAUAUAUUACAGAAUCAGGAGCUUGAUUGUCUAGCCAGUCCGAGUAGUUGUACCUCUGCUUUGUUGAAUUCUUGGUCAUCUCAAUGGGAUUGAAUGGUCCAAUAGCCCAUUGUUUGGCAUUUAUCUUAGCAAGCACAUCUAAAAAUGGAGCUUCAAUUGCUCGACAAGUAUUGAAAAGGGCACCUGAGCUGUAUUUGCGGUACUCACUCUGGCUAUCAACGAGUUUCCUCAUUUCUGAGGUCAUGGUAGUGGCAGUUCCCUUAGAAGGUAUCUUUUCUGCAACAUCAUCAUCAAUCUCAGAAGGUCUUCCCAACGCUUCCCAGUAGUAAGAGGAGAUGCAGAACGUGGAGACGGACUGAAAAGAGUAGGCCUCUCCGUUUGGUAUAGAAGCCACGUCCUGAAUAACCGAUGGAAAUAUUGAAUCAUAAAUUACAACAAGCCUUUUGGCCGUAGGUGAAAGUUUGGAUAGAACAGAAGCCACAGGCUGUCGAAGGAGCAAGGCAGCAUCGAAAGACGGCUGCAGGUGGGAAGGGAAUUUAACAGGGUCAUGGGGGUUGGGAUCAGGGGAGUGAAAAGCAGGGGUUGGAAAUUCAAGGAAAUGAAUCAAUUGGGAAUGAGUUGACAGAGGAUCCCAUCCCUGGAUUCG
rnacentral:lncRNA from 1 species